UAGGCCAUUCAUUGAGCUAGAGAAGACUAGCAGUUACAUGUAGCUGUUGGUUUCAAGCAGAGGCCCAAAGGAUUAUCUGCCGGUGGUCUUUGGCAGUUCUGAAACUUCAGCCGAGAAUGGCCAUUUCCUUUGGAAGAAACAUCC
rnacentral:snoRNA from 1 species